rnacentral:rRNA from 1 species
GACGAACGCUGGCGGCGUGCUUAACACAUGCAAGUCGAACGGAAAGGCCUCUUUCGUGGGGUACUCGCGUGGCGAACGGGUGAGUGACACGUGAGUAACUUGCCCUUGACUAUGGGAUAACUUCAGUAAACUGGGGCGAAUACCGGAUAGGAGCUCCUGCUGCAUGCAGGGGGUUGUAAAGUUUGGCCGGUUGGGGAUGGACUCGCGGCGUAUCAGCUUGUUGGUGGGGUAAUGGCUUACUAAGGCGUUGACGGGUCGCCGGCCUGUGAGGGGGAACGGCGACACAGGAGGUGAGCCGCGGCACAGAGUCCGAGGUGAGGCACAGGCGGCUAAGGGUGGCCGAAGGGGGGAAGACUGAAGAAGCGAUGGAGGGCGGAUGCAGAAGGGCCGCGGGUGGGAUAACGGUCUUAGGGGUGAAGAACGAUUUCGCUCAUAACGAAGCGCUGUGUGACGGUAGUGGGUAAAGAAGCACCGGCUAACUACGUG